ACUUUUGCAAAAACAAACAAAAAUAUACAUUGAUAAAAGAAAAAAACAAUCUGAAAAUAAAAACAAUCAACUAACUAGCAAAAAAAUUAACAUCAUCUUUAAAUAUACUGCAUUCUUUGUUUAUAGUUUUCUAAGUUUCACUUUCACUAAAUAUAGUUUUGAAUGUGCUGCAAAUGUUUUCGUUUUCACUUUCCAAGUUUUCGUUUGCGCUUCGCAAAUUUACGUUCUCCAUUUUGACACAAACCUCUCGUGAGGGGCGGGCUUAACAGCGGUUCGCUCUUAUUGGCUUGUGAGAUUUUGAUUGACAGCUCAUUGAACCGGAACCCCGGAACAGAAGGUGGCAGUAGUGCACCAAUAAGCUGGAUCCCAACCGCUGUUAAAAAUAACAAGAAGAAGACGAUCAGACGCAGUUUAUCAGCGGAGCUGCAAGUAGUCUAAACAAACGGUAAUAAGAGUAUAUUAAAGAACAUUAUUGAUAAUACACGGAUAUUUUACGCGUCAGCAGAGGAAUUACAAUAGUUCAAGAUGAGUAAUCGAGAGGCUCACGGUCCGGAGCACCAACACCAUCCUCCUCGGCCGGACAAUCGAGGCAGCCUGAGAAUUGAGCGUCUAUGGUGUGAUGUUUGGUCAGCUGUCUCUUGUACUAUGAAGAACUGCAAUGGAAGAAGAGACAGUGCUUGAUUCGGCAGGUGAACUGCACCUAUUUUAUGGUGGAGCAACUUUUUCAAGAGGAAAUUGUUGACAAUGUCACAGAGGAUGAUGGUGUGGUCGUGGUGCCAGAG